ACAAGCGGUGGAGUAUGUGGUUUAAUUCGACGCAACGCGCAGUAACCUUACCUGGUCUUGACAUCCCGGGAAUUUCCUUGAAAGAGGGAAGUGCCUCGCAAGAGGAGCCUGGAGACAGGUGCUGCAUGGCUGUCGUCAGCUCGUGUCGUGAGAUGUUGGGUUAAGUCCCGCAACGAGCGCAACCCUUGUCUUUAGUUGCCAUCAUUCAGUUGGGCACUCUAAAGAGACUGCCGGUGUCAAACCGGAGGAAGGUGGGGAUGACGUCAAGUCCUCAUGGCCUUUAUGACCAGGGCUACACACGUACUACAAUGGCCGGUACAAAGGGCAGCGACACAGCGAUGUGAAGCGAAUCCCGAAAAGCCGGUCUCAGUCCGGAUUGGAGUCUGCAACUCGACUCCAUGAAGUUGGAAUCGCUAGUAAUCGCGGAUCAGCACGCCGCGGUGAAUACGUUCCCGGGCCUU
rnacentral:rRNA from 1 species